GACGAACGCUGGCGGCGUGCUUAACACAUGCAAGUCGAACGAAGUGGCGAACGGGUGAGUAACGCGUAAACAACCUGCCCUUCAGGGGGGGACAACAGUUGGAAACGACUGCUAAUACCGCAUACUGCAGGAGGGGAUUGGGUCGGAGUAGCUAGUUGGAGGGGUAACUGCCCACCAAGGCGAUGUGCAGUUGCCGGUCUGAGAGGAUGAACGGCCACAAUGGGACUGAGACACGGCCCAGACUCCUACGGGAGGCAGCCGUGGGGAAUCUUCCGCAAUGGACGAAAGUCUGACGGAGCAACUCCGCGGGAGUGAUGACGGCCUUCGGGUUGGAAAGCUCUGUUAAUCGGGACGCGGUACCGGAAUAGAAAGCCACGGCUAACUACGUGCCAGCAGCCGCGGUAAUUC
rnacentral:rRNA from 1 species